CUGUAGCGUCGUGCCUAUACUCGGCCGUCAACGGCAAAGUGGGCGACCCCCUCGCGGGGGUCGGGCCGUUAAGCCUUGACGAGUAGGAGGGUCGCGGCGGUGUGCACUGAAGGGUCACGGCGUGAGCCGGCCUGGAGCCGCCGUCGGCGCAGAUCUUGGUGGUAGUAGCAAAUACUCCAGCGAGGACCUGGAGGACUGACGUGGAGAAGGGUUUCUUGUGAACAGCUGUUGCACAAGAGUCAGUCGACCCUAAGCCCUAGGAGAAAUCCCACGUUGAUGGGUCGCCGGACAAACUCAAAAAAACAAUGAAUUUGACGGCGCCCUCCUCGCGAAAGAAAGUCCGGUUCCUAUUCCGGAGGCCGCCGGCGGAACAGUUCCUCAACGGGCCCUCGCCAGAGUGCUGCUCGGGGCAACCCAAAGAGACCACCCGACGACGCCGUGGGAUCAUCCGAGAGUAUUCUUUUCUUCUUUAUCGUUCUUGUACUUUGGAAUCAUCUAGUAGGGAGAUAGGGUUUGUAACAACGCGAGCACCGCAGUUGCUGCGGUGUCCGGAUCUUCCCCUCGGAGCAUGAAAAUCCGGGAGAGGGCUAGCUGGAAAGUUCGCACCGCAUCGUACCCAUAUCCGCAGCAGGUCUCCAAGGUUAAGAGCCUCUACUCGAU
rnacentral:rRNA from 1 species